GGAGGGGAGGAGCAGCACAAGGACAUAGAGCUUAUAAACGCCCCUUUUUUUAACUGUUUCUUCUCCCUCUAACCCCCUUCUAUCAUACACACUGUGUCAGAGAAAUCUGCUUUUGGAAGUUGAACGUAGGCUGAUGAUAUGUUUUGAGCGUAAAGUGAAUAUUUAAUAUGUUUUCCUGGAACUUACUUACUUCAAUGCAUUUUAAAAUGAAUAUUAUGUAAGAUAGUGUGACCGGGAUGAGACUACUUUCGCUUUAAGAGGAUGUGUAGGAUAAUUACACAGGUGUUUAAUCGCUUGAUCUCGUUCCCUCUGCUCAGUGCUCUAAAGGUUGCUGUGGAUAUUCUGUCUCUUCAGUUUGGUGGAUUUAGUGGCUUUAGUGACUGCUGGGCAUUCUUCAGGAGUGUCAUUUAUCAGGUCAUAAAUGCAGACGCACAGCUUUCCAGAACAGGAUGUGUAA